GAUGAACGCUGGCGGCGUGCCUAACACAUGCAAGUCGAGCGUGAUUAAGUGGAGUGAGGACUUCGGUCUGAGUGAAAACUUAUGAAAGCGGCGGACGGGUGAGUAACGCGUGGGCAACCUGCCCCAUACAAAGGGAUGGCCACUGGAAACGGUGAUUAAUACCUUAUAAGUCGGUAGUCUCGCAUGAGAUAGCCGACAAAGAUUUAUCGGUAUGGGAUGGGCCCGCGUCUGAUUAGCUAGUUGGUGAGGUAACGGCUCACCAAGGCGACGAUCAGUAGCCGACCUGAGAGGGUGAUCGGCCACACUGGAACUGAGACACGGUCCAGACUCCUACGGGAGGCAGCAGUGGGGAAUAUUGCACAAUGGGCGCAAGCCUGAUGCAGCAACGCCGCGUGAGUGAAGAAGGCCUUCGGGUUGUAAAACUCUGUCCUAUGGGAAGAAACAAAUGACGGUACCAUGGGAGGAAGCCCCGGCUAACUACGUG
rnacentral:rRNA from 1 species